GAUGAACGCUAGCGGCAGGCUUAACACAUGCAAGUCGAGGGGCAGCAUGACGGAACUUUCGGGUUCUGUUGAUGGCGACCGGCGCAAGGGUGCGUAACGCGUGAGCAACUUGCCCUUAUCAGGGGGAUAACCGUUGGAAACGACGACUAAUACCCCAUGGUGUGAUGACGAGGCAUCUCGUUGUCACUAAAGAUUCAUCGGAUAAGGAUAGGCUCGCGUGACAUUAGCUGGACGGCGGGGUAACGGCCCACCGUGGCGACGAUGUCUAGGGGUUCUGAGAGGAAGGUCCCCCACACUGGAACUGAGACACGGUCCAGACUCCUACGGGAGGCAGCAGUGAGGAAUAUUGGUCAAUGGUCGGGAGACUGAACCAGCCAUGCCGCGUGAAGGCGACGGCCCUAUGGGUCUUAAACUUCUUUUGUGAGGGAGCAAUAAGUCUCACGUGUGGGACGAUGAGAGUACCUCACGAUAAGCAUCGGCUAACUCCGUG
rnacentral:rRNA from 1 species